CUUAACGUUAGCCAACUGAUCGGUGAUUGUUGCUUCCUUCGUUAUUUUUCUUGAUAAUACUAUUAUCCAAUGUAGAAACAUGAUCAAGCAUAAUUAAGGUAGAAUGAUCUAACUGAACUUGAAGCAUACAAACCUGAAGUGUGUGCUGAAUAAAUCCAAACCUGAACUAUUCUAAUAGCAUGUAUCCAACAAGAAGCAAAUUAUAUAAAUUUAAAACGCGAUAACCACCUACGAUAUAUGCCAGUAUUAUCUUAUUGAAUGAAAAAAUAUAAAUUUGUACAACGAGCAAUGAUAAAGCUAAAUAUAAGAGUAUAUAUAUAAAGUGAGAAAGAUAAGACACGAUUGUUCAAUACGAUACCGAAGAUAAGAAACGUAUGAUUGUAUAAUCAUAUCACAUUAUUAUACUGUAGUGAUUACACUGAAGGAGAGAAAGUGUUAUAAAAUUUUUAUCCAUAGCAUUGAUUUGUUACGAAACGUUCAAUCGAGGAAAAUCACCAUAGAUUCGUUUAAGAGAAAUCUUGAAACUUAAAAGAUAGAGAAUCAAAAUCUAUGAAAUUUCAAUAAUAUAUAAUUUUUUUAUAUAACUGAAUCUUCUUAGAAAAAUUUUUUAUUUAUUAAAUAAUUUAGAGAUUGAUAAUGAUUAAAUAAAAAAAAAAAAAGAAAUUAUAGAGAUAAAUUUAGAUUUAUUAAUGUGGAUUACUUUCAAAUCAAUUCAAUCAUUGUACUUUCAAGUUUAAUAAAUUUCAAUUAAUGAAAAUAAAAAAGAUGGACAUUUUUGACCGGAUCAAAAUGUAUCUCCAUGGACUAUAAUAAUUUUGAUUAAUUAGAAAUAUAUAUAAUAUAAAAUAUGAUCAUACAAAAACGCCUAUUUCUCAAUUGAUAGUGUCACACAGUUUUACUAAAUCAAUUUUAUGACAUUUAGUUUUGUUGAAAUAACUUUAAUUGCCUCAACAAAGAUAUAUAUUCAAUAAAUUUCUAUUAAAAAAAACAUAGAUUUUAAUGAUUAUCAUUUUUAUAGUCAUUAUAUCAAAACGAUCUAACAAUGAUUAAUACUGAUAUCAAUAAUGGUAGCUGAAUCUGAUGUGGAUUGAU